AUUGAACGCUGGCGGCAUGCCUUACACAUGCAAGUCGAACGGCAGCACGGGAGCAAUCCUGGUGGCGAGUGGCGAACGGGUGAGUAAAGUAUCGGAACGUGCCCAGUCGUGGGGGAUAACGUAGCGAAAGUUACGCUAAUACCGCAUACGAUCUAUGGAUGAAAGCGGGGGAUCGCAAGACCUCGCGCGAUUCGAGCGGCCGAUAGCGGAUUAGGUAGUUGGUGGGGUAAAGGCUCACCAAGCCGACGAUCUGUAGCUGGUCUGAGAGGACGACCAGCCACACUGGGACUGAGACACGGCCCAGACUCCUACGGGAGGCAGCAGUGGGGAAUUUUGGACAAUGGGCGAAAGCCUGAUCCAGCCAUGCCGCGUGCAGGAUGAAGGCCUUCGGGUUGUAAACUGCUUUUGUACGGAACGAAAAGGUUUGGCCUAAUAAGCUGAGCUCAUGACGGUACCGUAAGAAUAAGCACCGGCUAACUACGUGCCAGCAGCCGCCGCAG
rnacentral:rRNA from 1 species